UUCCUCCCCCAUUUUCCAUAUACCACAACCUAGCUAACCUUCUUCGUCUCCAAGACCACCACCACCACCACCAUCCAUUUUGCCAGCCAGCUAGCUCUUUGCAGAUACCGGAUAUUGUUGCCUAAUUAAGAUCCCAGUAUUCCUCAGGUUUCUCUUUCAAAUGGGUUCUCAAAGAAAAACCCAAUGCUUAACAAUGAUAAUCUUUGUUGCCAUUGUUUUUGGACCAUGCUCUCACCAAAUAUUGGCAGCUAGGCCACUAGAAGGAGAGCAAUGGUUAAAGCAAAAUCUUGGGAAUAUUCAAUCUCUUCAAAGGGCUCCGGUUCCACCAUCUCGUGGAUCUUCAUGCACUCAUACUCCUGGCCUUGGUAGUGGCCAUUGCCCCUUGGGUGAAAUGAAUUUUGCUGGCCAUAUUGUUGCUCAUGCACCACCUGCUUUUCCUGAUGCCAUCGUAAACUUUUCUACAGCUUCAGUCACUAAUAAUGAGACCCAAAAACAAGAUUCAAGCUCAUGAAUAUCUUAGGGAGUUAAAUUAUACGAGUAGGGUUUCUCGAUGAAGGUGAGGAUAGUUGAAAUAAAAGAAGGAUGGGGAUGGUGCUAAACUUUAAUUUCAUACUUCAUUUUUUUUUCUUGUUUUGGUGCAACCACUGGAAAAAAUAAGAGUGGUUGUGAAACAAAUGAUAUAGUUUAUUUUUAUUCAAUUUAUUUUAAUGAAUCAACUUGAUUUAAUUUUUUCAGUUAAUUUUAUGUUUUCUUGUUUGUAAUUCUUUAGAUAUUCGUGUGUGUGUAUUCUCGUGUGUGUGUAUUCUUUUAAUCUUAAACAUGGUUAUAAAACCUUUAGAGCUUAUUUUAGGGCUGAACAAGUCUGAGUUAAAGAAAAAAUUAAUUUGGGCUAACUCCAUGUAAAUUUAAUUCUAUCUUGGCCAAAAAUUUAUUGAUUUUUUUAAAAUAAAAAUUAUCAAAAUAACAUUAUUUGAUAUUUUAAAAAAAUGAAAUUAACCUUGAUUAACUUUCCCCAACUCAAAUGUAUCCAAAAAUGAGUUCAAUAAUUUUUAUUAUUGAAUGUUAAUAUAUAUAUAUAUAUAUAUACACACACACACUAGUUACGUCAAGAUAUCUCAAAUUCAUUCUUAACUUCGAGUCAAAGCCUUUAAGUCUUUGACCAUGCAAAACUAUGUCCAAGCUUAAUUUUUUUUUUUUUUUAGUUUUCUGUUCUUUUCUUUUUUAUAAUAUUGAUUGCCAAAUUAACACACGAAUUACACGUAAUCUAUGAGUUCUUGUACGUGGUCAAAUAUUUGACUUGGUUUAUUCUCACUCAAUUUGUUUUUUAGGUAGAAUAGGGAAAUGGUUUGCCAUUGAUUUUUUUUAUAAAAUCAAUGUUUGACAUUAUUUAUAUAAUAUUAUCUUUGAAACUUUUAUAUUUAAAUAAUUUAUUCUUAAAUAAGCCUUAAAUAUUAUAAUUUCAUACUUUCCAUCAUUUUUAUCUUCAGAUUCAUCAUCUUUUUACAACCAACCUCUAAAAUUUUAUUUCUUGUACAACUUAUUAAGAGACUUAUUUUGAAAACAUUCAUGAUUUUCAAGUUAAAAAAUAAUAUAAAUUAUAUAUUUAAAUGUUAUUGAGUUUUUUAAUAUAGUUUCAGAAAUUUGUUGAUAAAGUGCUUAUAAAUUAAAAACUUAUCAUCAUAUUUUAUUUGAUAAAAAUUAAAUAUAAAGUAAUAAUAAACCCGAGCAAAUUUCAUUUAAAAAAAUAUAUUAAAAAAUAAUAUAAAUUUUAUUGCAUGUUUAUUAUUAAAAAAUAAUAAACAAGGAUUAAGAUAGUUUUUUUACUCUAAGCAUGAUAAUUCAUUUCCAAUGUCUCAGCUUAUUGUCAACUUUAAAAAUACUUUGAUCGUUUGAGGUUUUUCUUGAACCUCGUCAACACUCCAAACAAAAUCAAUAUAAUACAAAACAAGAAUCCAAAAUACUGUUCUCUCUAUAAGAUAAAUCAAAUUGGAGGAGUCUUGCAAGCUCAAAGAAGCUUGCAUCAAUCCAGGCUUGAUUAGGUAGGAGUCAGAUAACACGACAAUCAAACUUUGAACAAAGUUUUCUGUUGAUUCUUCAUUUGAAAUUUUUGGUCCAGGAAAUUGAAUAAAUCAAUUCUAGAAAUAGAUUGGCCCAUACUGACGAUACGAGCCCAACGAUAUAUUUUUGUACGUGACGAGAUCACGAGACUGCAGUAAGCAUUAAAAUGAAUUAAAUGGUGGGCUCAUCUCCGACGUGUAUCUGGACAGCCCAUAAAUGUUGGGUUGUUUGGUCGGAGGAUUAUGUGAUAAUGAUUAUGAUAUUAAUAUAAAAAGAUGAUGAUAAUAAUAAAAAUAAUGAUAAUAAUAAACUGAUAUUUAUUGUGUAUUUAUGAUGGUUGAACAAUAAUAGUAAAAUACUAAAAUGAUAGUGGUAGUUCAACAUGGUAGCUAUUAGCAAUGAUAACUAUAUAAUUAUUAAAUUUAGUCCAAUAAAUUGACUUGCAAAUUAAAUUUUCAAGUUUUAUUAAAAUAAAAAUUAAUAAAAUAAAAUUCAGGUAACCCGUUCAAACCUAUAUUUUUACACGUAAUAAAUUAAGUGCACCAUCCAAACAUGAGUUAGACCCAAAACAGCAGUAGACCACCCAAAAUGUUUCGAAAACCUAGCCCAAAAAAUAGCAGGCUCCCUUAGUGGGUUGAGACAAAGAAUUUUGCCUCCCACCAUCACAUCAAGGAAUGGGAGGACUCCUUCAACUUUGAUUAAAAUUUCAUGUAUAAAAGUAUGUUCGUUUGCUUUUCAAGGUCUUGUGUCUAUAAUUUAGACUCUCUCCGUUCAAACUUCAAACCGCGGCCACAAGUCAACACAUGACAUCUUCCUACACACCAAAAUCAAGAAACCAUGACUUAAAACGUAUUUCAUGUGUGUCCUUGCAUGUAUAAGUAUAGAUCCCAUCUUCCAUAUACCACAACCUAGCUAACCUUCUUCGUCUCCAAGACCACCACUACCACCAUCCAUUUUGCUAGCUCUUUGCAGAUACCAGAUAUUGUUGUCUACUUAAGAUCCCCAGUAUUCCUCAGGUUUAUCUUUCAAAUGGGUUCUCAAAGAAAAAACCGAUGCUUAACGAUGAUAAUCUUUGUUGCCAUUGUUUUUGGACCAUGCUCUCACCAAAUAUUGGCAGCUAGGCCAAUAGAGGGAGAGCAAUGGUUAAAGCAAAAUCUUGGGAAUAUUCAAUCUCUUCAAAGGGCUCCGGUUCCACCAUCUCGUGGAUCUUCAUGCACUCAUACUCCUGGCCGUGGUAGUGGCCAUUGCCCCUUGGGUGAAAUGAAUUUUGCUGGCCAUAUUGUUGCUCAUGCACCACCUGCUUUUCCUGAUGCCAUCGUAAAGUUUGCUGCGGCUUCAGUCACUAAUAAUGAGACCCAAAAACAAGAUUCAAGCUCAUGAAUGUCUUAGGGAGUUAAAUUAUACGAGUAGGGUUUCUCGAGGAAGGUGAGGAUAGUUGAAACAAAAGAAGGAUGGAGACGGUACUAAACUUUAAUUUCAUACUUGAUUUUUUUUUUUUUACUUGUUUCGGUGAAACCACUGGAAAAAAUAAGUGGUUGUGAAACA
rnacentral:lncRNA from 1 species